GCGGCGGGGGGUCGAGUCCUGCUGGCGGCGGGCGCCGACGACAUGGUGCGGUUGCCGCGGACACACCGCCGCCGACUGAGGCUGCCGCAGGCCGCCCUUGAUGCCGCCAUUGUGGAGGAAUGCGUGCGCUGGAUCCGCGACGUGUGCGCGGGCCGCGAGGACUGGGACGAGGCGGGGCAGGGGGCGCCGCCUGCGGGGGGCAGCGGCGCAGAGCCCACGGCCCCCGCGCCUCCCGCGCCUGAACACACGCGCGCUCGGCGCAGAGGUGACAAGCGGGGAACCGUGACGGCGGUGGCGGCGGCGGAGGACAACGGGUGCGGUGCCGGCGUGGCGGAAGGCGGUCCCCGCGCAGAGGCGACAGUAUGUCGCGUGGCGGGUGGAACCCCUCUGCCGUUGAGUGCGCCGCGCCGCGACCUUCGUGCCGCUGAUAUCAUGAGGCUGCCCAUCCUGUUUGCAGAUGACCUGCCCGCCGUGCAGCCGCCAGAGGAGAGCGCCACAUCGGCUGCCACCGCUGGGCCGUUGACGGUGCGUGGCGGCUCAAGCGGGCGGCUCAAGUACACGCGAGUCAUUGUGGCCAAGCGUGCCCCGCCCGCCGUGCUGCGCCGCUCGCCGACACAUUGACCACACCAACACCUGGCCGCUGCUCACGGUCAGCGGCGGAGCAAGCGGGCGGCUCAAGUACACGCGAGUCAUUGUGGCCAAGCGUGCCCCGCCCGCCGUGCUGCGCCGCUCGCCGACACAUUGACCACACCAACACCUGGCCGCUGCUCACGGUCAGCGGCGGAGCAAGCGGGCGGCUCAAGUACACGCGAGUCAUUGUGGCCAAGCGUGCCCCGCCCGCCGUGCUGCGCCGCUCGCCGACACAUUGACCACACCAACACCUGGCCGCUGCUCACGGUCAGCGGCGGAGCAAGCGGGCGGCUCAAGUACACGCGAGUCAUUGUGGCCAAGCGUGCCCCGCCCGCCGUGCUGCGCCGCUCGCCGACACAUUGACCACACCAACACCUGGCCGCUGCUCACGGUCAGCGGCGGAGCAAGCGGGCGGCUCAAGUACACGCGAGUCAUUGUGGCCAAGCGUGCCCCGCCCGCCGUGCUGCGCCGCUCGCCGACACAUUGACCACACCAACACCUGGCCGCUGCUCACGGUCAGCGGCGGAGCAAGCGGGCGGCUCAAGUACACGCGAGUCAUUGUGGCCAAGCGUGCCCCGCCCGCCGUGCUGCGCCGCUCGCCGACACAUUGACCACACCAACACCUGGCCGCUGCUCACGGUCAGCGGCGGAGCAAGCGGGCGGCUCAAGUACACGCGAGUCAUUGUGGCCAAGCGUGCCCCGCCCGCCGUGCUGCGCCGCUCGCCGACACAUUGACCACACCAACACCUGGCCGCUGCUCACGGUCAGCGGCGGAGCAAGCGGGCGGCUCAAGUACACGCGAGUCAUUGUGGCCAAGCGUGCCCCGCCCGCCGUGCUGCGCCGCUCGCCGACACAUUGACCACACCAACACCUGGCCGCUGCUCACGGUCAGCGGCGGAGCAAGCGGGCGGCUCAAGUACACGCGAGUCAUUGUGGCCAAGCGUGCCCCGCCCGCCGUGCUGCGCCGCUCGCCGACACAUUGACCACACCAACACCUGGCCGCUGCUCACGGUCAGCGGCGGAGCAAGCGGGCGGCUCAAGUACACAUUUGCCAUAGUGACCAAGCGCGCACCGGCCGCCGUGCUACGCCGCUCGCUAACACACUGACCACACCCUCUCACGGCCGCUGCCCACACUGAGCGGCGGCGCGCGCUGCCCGCUGACAAACUGACCGCACCCUUCCGGUGUCGACAUGGAACACACGGGGCGAAAAUACGCUGUAUUAUACGACUGUUUUUUUCAUAUAA